CCUACGGGUGGCUGCAGUGAGGAAUAUUGGUCAAUGGGCUUACGCCUGAACCAGCCAAGUCGCGUGAGGGAAGACUGCCCUAUGGGUUGUAACCCUCUUUUGUCAGGGAGCAAUUGGCGCUACGUGUAGCGUUAUCGAGAGUACCUGAAGAAAAAGCAUCGGCUAACUCCGUGCCAGCAGCCGCGGUAAUACGGAGGAUGCGAGCGUUAUCCGGAUUUAUUGGGUUUAAGGGAUGCGUAGGCGGUAUUUUAAGUUAGUGGUAAAACGUCGGGGCUUCACCUUGAUUGGCCAUUCAGACUGGAGUAAUAGAGUACAGACGAGGUAGGCGGAAUAAGUUAAGUAGCGGUGAAAUGCUUAGAUAUAACUUAGAACCCCGAUAGCGAAGGCAGCUUACCAGACUGUUACUGACGCUGAAGCACGAGAGCGUGGGUAGCGAACAGGAUUAGAUACCCCAGUAGUC
rnacentral:rRNA from 1 species